UCUUGUCUCAAAGAUUAAGCCAUGCAUGUGCCAGUAUAAGCAACUUUAUACCGCGAAACUGCGAAUGGCUCAUUAAAUCAGUUAUAGUUCAUUUGAUGGUGCUUUACUACUUGGAUAACCGUGGUAAUUCUAGAGCUAAUACAUGCCAAAAACCCCGACGCAAGGAGGGGUGUGUUUAUUAGAUUGCAAACUGAUGCCCUUCACGGGGCCGUUGGUGAUUCAUGAUAACUCAACGCAGCGCAUNNCCUCGUGCCGGCGCGGGAUCAUUCAAAUAUCUGCCCUAUCAAG
rnacentral:rRNA from 1 species